AGAGUUUGAUCCUGGCUCAGGACGAACGCUGGAGGCACGCUUAAAACAUGCAAGUCGAACGAGAAGCUUUGGUGCUUGCACCGAAGUGGGAAGUGGCGAACGGGUGAGUAACACAUGAGAAACCUGCCCCGAAGAUUGGGAUAAGCCUUGGAAACGAGGUCUAAUACCGAAUACCUUCUAAUUAUCACAUGGUAAAUAGAAGAAAGCUCAGGCGCUUUGGGAUGGUCUCGUGGCCUAUCAGCUUGUUGGUGAGGUAAAAGCUCACCAAGGCAACGACGGGUAGCUGGUCUGAGAGGAUGUCCAGCCACAUUGGAACUGAGAUACGGUCCAAACUCCUACGGGAGGCAGCAGUUAGGAAUCUUGCACAAUGGGGGAAACCCUGAUGCAGCGAUGCCUCGUGCGGGAUGAAGGCCUUAGGGUUGUAAACCGCUUUCAGUUGGGAAGAAAGUGACGGUACCAACAGAAGAAGCCCCGGCCAACUAUGUGCCAGCAGCCGCGGCGAUACAUAGGGGGCGAGCGUUGUCCGGAUUUACUGGGCGUAAAGAGCUCGUAGGCGGUUUAAUAAGUCGACAAGUGAAAUCUCCAGGCUCAACCUGGAGCAGCCUUGCGAUACUAUUAUGACUUGAGUGUGGUAGAGGAGUGUGGAAUUCCCAGUGUAGCGGUGAAAUGCGCAGAUAUUGGGAGGAACACCUAUGGCGAAGGCAGCACUCUGGGCCAUUACUGACGCUGAGGAGCGAAAGCGUGGGGAGCGAACAGGAUUAGAUACCCUGGUAGUCCACGCC
rnacentral:rRNA from 1 species